CUUGCGACGGCAUUUGAUCCGGAAGUCCGUGGAUUUGCCGGCCACGAAAAGACCCCCGUGGACGAAAUCAUUGGCCCGUACCGCAAUCCGACACAGGUGUGCUAGGCGAGCAUCCGAAGGCGUUCGGGAGAACCCUCGUGAAGGAACUCGGCAAAAUGACCCCGUACCUUCGGUAUAAGGGGUGCUCAUCACGCAAGUGGUGAGCCGCAGAGAAUCGGCUCUAGCGACUGUUUAUCAAAAACACAGGACUCUGCCAACUCGCAAGAGGACGUAUAGAGUCUGACGCCUGCUCGGUGUCGGUAGGUUAAGGGAGCCGAUCAGCGCAAGCGAAGUUGGCGACCGAAGCCCCGAUAAACGGCGGCCGUAACUAUGACGGUCCUAAGGUAGCGAAGUUCCUUGUCGGGUAAGUUCCGACCUGCAUGAAUGGCGUAACGACUGGAGCACUGUCUCCACGAGGGACCCGGUGAAACUGUAGCCGUGGUGAAGAUGCCACGUACCCGCGGUCAGACGGAAAGACCCCGUGAACCUUUACUGCAGGUUGGCACUGGCCCAGCGUUCUUUCUGUGUAGCAUAGGUGGGAGGCCGUGACCCGGCGGCGCCAGCCGUCGGCGAGCCAUCGGUGAAAUACCACCCUGAAAUCACGCUGGUCCUCACCGGUCCGUAGCCCGGACCGGGACCGUGCUCAUCGGGCAGUUUGACUGGGGCGGUCUCCUCCCAAAGAGUAACGGAGGAGUGCAAUGGUACCCUCGGCCCGGUCGGCAAUCGGGCAACACGAGCGCAAACGUACAAGGGUGCCUGACUGCGAGACUCAUCAGUCGAGCAGGGACGAAAGUCGGCGUUAGUGAUCCGGCGGUGCUGGAUGGAAAGGCCGUCGCUCAACAGAUAAAAGGUACUCCGGGGAUAACAGGCUGAUCUCCCCCGAGCGUCCCUAGCGGCGGGGAGGUUUGGCACCUCGAUGUCGGCUCAUCGCGUCCUGGGGCUGGAGAAGGUCCCAAGGGUUUGGCUGUUCGCCAAUGAAAGCGGUACGCGAGCUGGGUUCAGACCGUCGUGAGACAGGUCGGUCCCUAUCUGCCGUGGGCGUAGGAAACUUGAGGAGCGUCUCCCCUAGUACGAGAGGAUUGGGGAGGACCGACCUCUGGUGUGCCGGCUGUCCCGCUCGGGGCAUCGUCGGGUAGCCAGGUCGGGACCGGAUAAGCGCUGAAGGCAUCUAAGCGCGAAGCCCCCUCCGAGACGAGGUUUCCAGCACUUUUAAGUGCGAAGGCUCCGGGAAGACGACCCGGUCGAUGGGCUGGAAGUGUACGGCGGGUGACCGCCUCAGCGGACCAGUUCCAACAGCCGAUAGCUUGACCAC
rnacentral:rRNA from 1 species